rnacentral:tRNA from 1 species
GCCUUCGUGGUGUAGUAGUCAGCAUGCUGGCCGCAUAAUCCAGAGGUCCGUGGUUCGAGUCUCGGUGAAGGCG